rnacentral:rRNA from 2 species
GGGCGGUUACCACGGAGUGGUCAAUGACUGGGGUGAAGUCGUAACAAGGUAGCCCUAGGGGAACCUGGGGCUGGAUCACCUCCUUAAACGAUA